rnacentral:tRNA from 1 species
GGCCCUGUGGCCUAAUGGAUAAGGCGCCAGCCUCCGGAGCUGGAGAUUGUGGGUUCAAGUCCCAUCAGGGUCG